rnacentral:siRNA from 1 species
AGAACGCCGCUUGAGCAACUCAGU